AAAUUAACGAAAUAAAUAGGGAACACGGCUCACAACUGUUACAUUUAGGUAAUGUGCUUAUGGGUGCUCAUGAUAUUUUCUCCCUUUUACGUGUGUGUUUGAAACAUUUAUAAUUAAAAAUUAAAUAAAAGAAAAAAAUUUACCUGAGGACAAAAGCAGUUUAGAGACUUGCUCCCUAGGGGCUAAGAACCAACUUUUCUCACAAGUAAUGCAGUGGUGAGUGGGGUCACGCAGGGGUGGGUAGUGCAGUGCACUGGCGGGUAAUCUAAUCAGUGGUGAGUGGGGUCACGCAGGGGUGAGUAGUGCAGUGGCGGAUAAUCUGAUCAGUGGUGAGUGAGGUCACACGGGGUGGGUAGUGCAGUGCAGUGGUGGGUAAUCUGAUUAGUGGUGAGUGGGGUCACGCAGGGGUGGGUAGUGCAGUGCAAUGGCAG